UACGAAGGGGGCUAGCGUUGUUCGGAUUUACUGGGCGUAAAGCGCACGUAGGCGGAUUGGUCAGUUAGGGGUGAAAUCCUGGAGCUCAACUCCAGAACUGCCUUUAAUACUGCCAGUCUCGAGUCCGGAAGAGGUAAGUGGAACUCCUAGUGUAGAGGUGGAAUUCGUAGAUAUUAGGAAGAACACCAGUGGCGAAGGCGGCUCACAUGGACCGGUUCUGACGCUGAGGCGCGAAAGCGUGGGGAGCAAACGGG
rnacentral:rRNA from 1 species